rnacentral:rRNA from 1 species
AACGAACGCUGGCGGCAUGCCUAACACAUGCAAGUCGAACGAAGCCUUCGGGCUUAGUGGCGCACGGGUGCGUAACGCGUGGGAAUCUGCCCUUGGGUUCGGAAUAACAGUUAGAAAUGACUGCUAAUACCGGAUGAUGUCUUCGGACCAAAGAUUUAUCGCCCAAGGAUGAGCCCGCGUAGGAUUAGGUAGUUGGUGGGGUAAUGGCCCACCAAGCCGACGAUCCUUAGCUGGUCUGAGAGGAUGAUCAGCCACACUGGGACUGAGACACGGCCCAGACUCCUACGGGAGGCAGCAGUGGGGAAUAUUGGACAAUGGGCGAAAGCCUGAUCCAGCAAUGCCGCGUGAGUGAUGAAGGCCUUAGGGUUGUAAAGCUCUUUUACCAGGGAUGAUAAUGACAGUACCUGGAGAAUAAGCUCCGGCUAACUCCGUGCCAGCAGCCGCCGCGG